rnacentral:rRNA from 1 species
AUGAACUUUUGGUCCCUGCCAUCUGUCGGCACGUCGCUCCCCUCCGUAUUUAUGCAGUGGCCGACGGUCACAUGCAAAUUAUGCGUGAUACCUGCGCCGACGUACCACUGGAGACGCUGCUUGCACUUGUUGACGGUGUCGCCGAAUUCGAUCACGACGUCGGUCGAGAGGCGGGGUGAUGCCUCCUUGUCGGAGCCGUUGAUCGCCGCCGCCAGCUUGAUCGACACAGCCACGCUUCUACUGCUGGUGGAGUCGUCGCAUAGUGCCAGAUUCACGUUCCUAGGGCACCCGGACUUCCAUAUAGAGCUAUGGUUAACACAUUGA